AUGCAGAGGCCGGGGUUUCCCCCUUUUCAAAAAAAAAACAUGCUUCACCUGAUCCGUGAGUUGAGCCCUCAUCUGGACCCUAACAACCCUGAAGGGCCUGUACGACAGAAUGGAGAAGAUCUUUUGGAUAAUGCAUAUUAUGGGUGGUACUAUGACUUUCUAAUGUACCAUCCAGCCUUGUUACCUCCGAAGGCCAGAAAGAAUUUCAUUUAUGGAAUAUAUGACGCAAUUUUUAAGCUGCAAUUCAAGAAGAAGUUUCCGUUUACCAAGGUAUUCGAUGAAGGUCUGGGAUGGACAGGAUUCUUCCAAGACGCUCGACAUCCUAUCCUGGAAGCUAUCUAUGAUUUUGACCCAAGACCCCAAGAUGCAACCCAGCCAUCUAACGAGGAAGCUGCUGCUGCGACUGCAUACUAUCAGGAUUAUGUUCAAGACAUGCUGAAGCUUUUGAGGCACGUGACUGAACAUGCAUAUGAUCAUGCAAUGUUGCAAAACUACGUUCAGUCCAUGAGAACUGGAAAUGAAAGUGAACUGUUUGCGGCUGAGAACUUCCCAGAGUUCUUUCCAGAGUUGCUGAGGCUGAUCCUCAGUAGGGGGUGUCUGCAGGGCGAAAUACUGUUCCACUGGCGGAUAUACAGGGCUACCUUCGAAGCUGAGGUUUGA
rnacentral:rRNA from 1 species